UACGUAGGGUGCGAGCGUUGUCCGGAAUUAUUGGGCGUAAAGGGCUCGUAGGCGGCCAACUAAGUCGGACGUGAAAUCCCCAGGCUCAACCUGGGAACUGCGUCCGAUACUGGAUGGCUUGAAUCCGGGAGAGGGAUGCAGAAUUCCAGGUGUAGCGGUGAAAUGCGUAGAUAUCUGGAGGAAUACCGGUGGCGAAGGCGGCAUCCUGGACCGGCAUUGACGCUGAGGAGCGAAAGCCAGGGGAGCAAACGGG
rnacentral:rRNA from 1 species